GACCCGGUAGCUCAGUCGGUAGAGCAACGGACUUUUAAUCCGCAGGUCGUGGGUUCGAUCCCCACCCGGGUCA
rnacentral:tRNA from 2 species